rnacentral:tRNA from 1 species
GCCUAGCUGGCUCAGUCAGAAGAGCAUGUGACUCUUGAUCAUGGGGUUGUAAGUUAGAGGCCCAUGUUGGGUG